rnacentral:rRNA from 1 species
AGAGUUUGAUCAUGGCUCAGAUUGAACGCUGGCGGCAGGCCUAACACAUGCAAGUCGAGCGGCAGCGGAAAGUAGCUUGCUACUUUGCCGGCGAGCGGCGGACGGGUGAGUAAUGUCUGGGAAACUGCCUGAUGGAGGGGGAUAACUACUGGAAACGGUAGCUAAUACCGCAUAACGUCGCAAGACCAAAGAGGGGGACCUUCGGGCCUCUUGCCAUCAGAUGUGCCCAGAUGGGAUUAGCUAGUAGGUGGGGUAACGGCUCACCUAGGCGACGAUCCCUAGCUGGUCUGAGAGGAUGACCAGCCACACUGGAACUGAGACACGGUCCAGACUCCUACGGGAGGCAGCAGUGGGGAAUAUUGCACAAUGGGCGCAAGCCUGAUGCAGCCAUGCCGCGUGUAUGAAGAAGGCCUUCGGGUUGUAAAGUACUUUCAGCGGGGAGGAAGGUGUUGAGGUUAAUAACCUCAGCAAUUGACGUUACCCGCAGAAGAAGCACCGGCUAACUCCGUGCCAGCAGCCGCGGUAAUACGGAGGGUGCAAGCGUUAAUCGGAAUUACUGGGCGUAAAGCGCACGCAGGCGGUCUGUCAAGUCGGAUGUGAAAUCCCCGGGCUCAACCUGGGAACUGCAUUCGAAACUGGCAGGCUAGAGUCUUGUAGAGGGGGGUAGAAUUCCAGGUGUAGCGGUGAAAUGCGUAGAGAUCUGGAGGAAUACCGGUGGCGAAGGCGGCCCCCUGGACAAAGACCGACGCUCAGGUGCGAAAGCGUGGGGAGCAA